rnacentral:lncRNA from 1 species
UUUUUUUUUGUUCAACAGGUUUAGGAAAUGCAUUUUCGAAAAAAAUUCAAAAAUUCAUUUUCAGAAUAAAUUUAAUUAUAAAAUUGGUACAUGACUCAAAACGAAUGAAAUAUGUAUGUUUGAGGUGCGUCUUGAGAUGCAUUUCUGAAAUCUGAAAGAAUAAAAUUUUAAACAUAUAAAAAUGAAAUAUGAGAAUAAAGUUUUAAACAUAUAAAAAUGAAAUAUGUGUGUUUAAUGUGUUUGUGACAUAUAUAUAAUGCAUUAAAAAAAAUGUACCGCCUAUCAUACUAAGACUUAAAUGAACUGUUUUCCUGCAUGUAGGGCUUGGCCAAGACAAAUUUGUAGGAUUAAUAAGAAAUAUAUUUAUAAAGAGUUAUAAAGAUUAUUUUUAUAGAGAUUCUUAUACAUGUAAUAAAAAACAAAUUCUCCAAAAAAGAUCUUAUAAUUAGGAAAUUGUUAUACACUACAUGUAAUUAAACUGGGUAGAGAUCCUUUCAAUUUCUUUAAAGAAAUGGAAUUAUCCACUACUAUACUUUUAGAAUACAAAUAGCUAAUAGUUGUCACCAAAUUUUAAAAUGUCUACAUUUAUUUAUAUCUUGUAUUCACCUAAUUUAAUAUAUAUUUUAAUCAUUUUAUUUAAUUUAAUAUUAUUUUUUAGUCCUUUAAAUAAAAAAUAUUAUAAGUUAGUCCUUUAAUUUCCAUUCUAUUAUUUUAUUUGGUAUUUUUGAUAAUUUUUAGAUAAAAAAUAUUAAGUUCUUGUGACGUGACGUGAUAACAAUGUUAUAGAUACAAAUUUUAGCAUCACCAGAAUUUAAGGUUUUUUUGUCAAAAAUUGAUGGAAGAGACUAAAUAGGAUAACCGAAGUGAAAUUAAGGAACUAACUUAUAACAUUUUUUAUUUAAGGGAUUAAAGUAAAAUAUUAAAUUAAGUUAAGAGACUUGAUGAUUAAUUAUGUCUUUAAAAAUUAUUAAUUUAUUUUCUUAAUUUUUUCUGUUUAAUAAAUAAAUGAUUUUAAUUAUUUUAAUUAAUUUUUAUACAAAUAUUUAUUUAAAAAUUAAAUAUUACAAACUCUAAAAUAUAUAUUUAGGCCUAACGUACAGUAACCCAAUACCAAUAUUAUAACAAAUAUAAUGUGAAAGUCUUAUAUAAUCACUAUUCUUUGGUAUUGAAAUUUCGAUGUGGACUUAAAUUGUACAUGUCACUGUUGAUAUUGAUUGAAAAUAUAUACGUUGAUACUAUUUAUAGAUAAUUGAAUAUGAUUAUCGAUGAAAAUAAUAUAAAAAUUUUUGGAGUGUAGCUUCAAAUGAGUAUCUGAGUAUAGUCUUUAUAUUGGAGUACGAUUGUCAAUGAAGACAAGACAAACUUAUAUAUUAUUUUUAAUAAAUAUGAAGAUUAUUAGAAUUAGUUGAAAAUAUGGAUGAUGAAUAAAUCCUAUUUCAUUCAAUUUUUUUAAAUGAAUAGAGGUAAUAUAAUAUAUAUAUUAUAUAUAUAUAUAUAUAUAUAUAUAUAUAUAUAUAUUAUAUAUCAUAUUUUAUUAAUAUUAUAAAUUCUUUUAAGUUCCAUAUUAUUUAAUUUUGUGAAGGAAGAGAGAGUCAAAGAUAUAUAUGAUUCAAGUUUUUUAUUCCAAUAUGCAUCGAUCAAAAGCAUUUUAAACUUGUAUUUGAUUUUCUUUGUUCUCUUUUUGGAGGGAGAAUGUGGAUGCAAAUGUAAGUGAUUAAAGUCUCACAUUGUCUAUGAAUUGGUGGAGUGUUGGAUUUAUAAGAGAGAUAACUUAUUUACCUAACACCUUAAGAUUUUGGGUUGAAAUGUAAUGUUUUUCUAUUGUGAUCGUGGAGCAUUAGUCUCAUUGAUGCUCUUGAACUCCCCAAUAGUGAUACAGAGUCUGGUUCGGCUUGUGGGGGGAGCGGAAACUGAAUCCAGAUAGAUGAUAUGAGAGACUUACAUUUGUGGGGGAGAACGUGGUGUGAAAGUAUGAGUGAUUAAAGUUUUACAUUAUUUAUGAAUGAGUGAAAUAUUAAAUUUAUAAGAGAGACUUCAUUUAUUUAACACUUUUGUUGAGAUCUCAUUGAUGUUUUUGAGUCUCCUAAACUCCCAAACAACCGCAACUACAAAUCAAACAGCUUUUGCAAAAGUGUAUUAUGGUGAAGUACCUAAUCCAUACAAUAAGUUUCAUGAGCAUAUGUAUAUGACUAAAACAACAUAAAAGUAACUCCUUAUGCAGAGGUGUAUUACGGUGACAAAGUUUGAUAUUGUAUAUAUGAUAACAGUUGUAGAAAAAUCAUGUCACUUAAUCACUAUCUUUUUGCAUUUAAAAGCAUCUUUGCUUAAAAUAUUUGGAACGAUCUACGUCUCUAGGUGAUAUUGAUGACGUGUAUUUAGACACAGAGGAAAAGUAUAAGAAAUUAAUUAAGCAGGUUAUUGAAUUAUAGGAAAAAUAUAUUGAUGUCGAUGCUUAUAAGAAAUUUGAUACUAAAGGAUCAUAAAAUUAAUUUUUUAAAUAAAAAUUAAAAAGUUAUUAAAAUGAAUUUAGAGAGACCAAAACUGCAUUUAAGUUAAUAUUUAAUUUAACAAAAUAUUAUUUAAUACUUCCACGUUUCAAAAUAAAUAUCAUCUUUUUAUAAAAAAAAUAUUUUUCAUAUUUAUUAUAAAGUGUAAACAAUAUGAAAAAAUUAAUAAUUUUACUAAAUUAUUUGAUUGAAUAUUAAAAUAUUUCCCAACAUCAGAAAUACAAAAUAAAAUAAAAUAUUUUAAGAGUAACACACAUAAUUAAAUAAAUUAUAUUAAAAAAUUAAAACACUAUAUUUUGAAACAAAUUUAUUUACUAAAGAAUAUAGAUAGAGUAACAUGAUUUGAUUAACAAACAAAACCAAGGCUAAAUCUCAUAUUUAAUUAACAAAAUUAUAGGGAUCAUUUACUUUAACUUGUAGUAUAAUUUUAAAAAAUUUAAUAAAUCUCCAUUUUAAAAAAAAAAAUUGUUUGAACUAAAUUGUGGCCAUGAAUGAUAGAUAGGGUGAUGCACAACAAUUUCAAAGGGAAGUAUUUAUUUUUUAUUUCUUUGUGCCGUUAUUUUCGGAUAAUUUAAUUGAUAGUUAUGCAUGAAUAUCAGAUCUAAUAGAAGAAUGCAUAUUUAAAUCCGUAAUAUUUCAUUUAAUUAUUUUUUAAAAAGCAAAUUCAAGUGAUUAAACUAUUUAAUAAAAGAAUUCAGCUAUUAAAUUAGUUGGAAAAAAAAGAUCCUCUUCAAUUCAAUCAUGUCUAAUUGGCUGUCAUAUCUUGCAGCUCACUUCUUUUCAACAAAAAAGUCAUUGCUUUUGCUUAAAGCAUGGUAUGAGUGGCUUAAUCCAACGAUUAAGUAGGAACAAGUUUGAAUGAAAGACAUCAUCACUAUUAUUAUUCUCUUUAAUUAAAUUAAAUCUUGCAUCAUUUCUAAACAAACAUCCAUUACCAACAGCACACUUUUGACCAUAUAUUUGUCUUUAAUCUCAUUGUUAAGAAGAAUCGUUUUUUAAUGUCUGCAAAAUAAUUAAAUAAAUCUGUCACUAUGAAUAAGUAAAAUUCAUAUUUAUUUUACCACUAUUAAUAUGUGGUUAACUUACCUGAUAAAACUUUAAAAAAUAAUUAACAGGACUUUGAUGUUAAGUACCAAACUCGAUAUUUCAUACAAAAUAUAUUUAUUUUCGUUUUUAAAUUCUUUACUACAUAAAAACAAUUAUGGAAUCGCAUAUAUCAAAAUUUAGAUACAAAAAUUAGAGAUUCUCCGCAAUAAAAUAAAUUUAAAAUCAGUCAUUUAAUUAUUUUGAUUUUGUUUAUCCUACACCAUAAAAGGACGGAAUUGGAAAAUAUUGUCAAUGAAGUAGAAUAUAAAAAAUGAUAAGUAAUUAAGUAUAUUGAGUUAAAAAUAAUGUUAUAUUUUGCAAAGGAACUAAAUAUAAAGAAAGUGAUUAAAAACAGUUUUUAUUAAAAUCAAUAUAUUUAAUAUAAUUAGAGGGGACUAUACUCUUAUUUGGGAUAGGCAAUAUUUAAUUGUGUCCCUAUAUAUCAAGAUGCUUUAAAAAGGUAUUGUAAUUAUUAAUUAAUAAAAAGAUCAAUUAAAUAAAGAAUAUUAUACUGUUCGUAAGUAAAAAGUUGUAAUAUUUAAGAAAGAGUUACAAUACUUGGUGAAAGGGUAUGUUUUAUCAAGGAUGACAAUACUUAGUAAAAAGUUGCAACACUUGAUGAGAUAACGAGUUUUAUCAAUGGUCGCAAUCUUGUGAAACAAUAUCUUUUAAUCUAUAAAUAAUCUGCUUCGGAUCCAGAAAAAUAUACUACUUUGAACUCUCAUAUUCCUUGUUUAAAUUUUAGAUUUCUUUCUUCCAUAUAUUUGAGUUUUCAUAUGUCUUGUGCAAAUUCAAAGUAGAUUAAAUUAUCAUGAGUAUUCUUGCGUGUAGUCUCUGAGAUAAAAUAGAGAGUACUUAAAAUACUAUUAUGAAAAUGAUUAUAUGCACAAUUCUAGCCUUGAUCCAUUUAACUUAAAAAUAACUUCUAACAGUCUAAUAAUAUAUCAAAUAAUGACAAUCGGGAUUUCCGUUAAUAUAUUAAAUAAUGGCAACUGAGGCUUCUGUUUCAAGCAUCAAAGUGAUGAACAAAGACCUUGUGAAGCUGGAUCAUUUUGAUGGGACAAACUUCACUCGCUGAAAAGAAAAGAUGAUCUUCCUCCUUAUUGCUUUGAAGAACUUCCAUGUACUGGAUCCUGAACUAGCACUCAUUGGAUGUAAGUGGGUCUUUAGAAGAAAGUAUCAUGGUGAUGGCACACUAAACACCUACAAAGCUAUAUUAGUAGCCAGUGAUUUUAGACAAAAGGAGGGUGUUGAUUACCUCAACACAUAUGAUAGCAAGGACGACGACAAUUAGAGUAUUAUUUGCAUUAGCUUCUUUGCAUAACCUUAUAGUUCGUUAAAUAGAUAUCAAAAUAGUAUUCCUAAGUGGAGAUAUCGAUGAGGAAAUUUACAUGAAGCAACUGGAAGGCUAUGUGUUUCCUGGUAAUGAAUAAAACGAGUAGAACAAUGCCUCAAACAUCUUAACCUCAAUUUAGAAGACGUUCUCGUCAGGUUCCACAGUUUCAACAUCAUUGCAUAUCCAAAAAGAAGCUUUUGAAAAACUGUUAAAGACACAUAUUAGUUGGUUUAGAUCUAAUGCAUGCCUUAAAUCACUUGGCAUAAAGGUUUUCAUCUUCUAAAAAGAAGGAAGACCUUACCUCCAUUGGUCACACUACCACAUCAGGAAUAAAUACCUCAAUCUAUUACAUGCCUUAGAAAGGUUUCCAUUUACUAUAAAGAAACAAGACCUUACUUCCAUUGGACUCACUACCACAUCAACAAUAAAUACCUCCGAGUGCAUUUACUCUAUUUUUUUCUCAAUUUCUUCAAUGUAAAACAUGGCAUAACAUUUGAGACAAUGAUCCCAUCCAUGAAAACUAUUCUCAACAUAUUACCAUUGAACAAAACCUUGAUAAGAAUGACUUCAAAUGUGUGACCAUUUCUCUAGUGGGCUUCUCAAAUAACACCCUCAAUUUCUUUAACUUAAGCUAAUGGAACCCACUUAGUGUCUUCAAUGAAUACAUCUCAUUGCAUCUCAUUUAUUUGGGCUUCUAUGCUUUAGAAUUCCCAAGAGGUUAAUCCCAUAACUUUUAUUUCAGUCAUGACGAUGUUAGAUUUAUCUCUAAGUCGGAUAUAUAAUAGGUAAUCCUCAUCAUAUUUCAUUUAAUAUCCCAAUUUGAGACAGCCUAACCCUAGUAACUUCUUUAAUAUUAUUAUAUUUUCACAAUUAACUUUCUCUUUAACUUUCAAGGGUGUUUUUUGUUAGCUAUAAGCUCUAGGUAUGUGAGACUUUGACCAAAUUCUUCCAUGGCUACUAUAUAAGCACAUUCAUCUACCUUUUACUCAUUUCUCAUCAGAAGUCAAGGACUUGCUCUUGUUAGAGUCAUCAAGUGGUACAUCUAAUCUUGGCCAAAGUGAACUCAUUGUCUAACACCUUUAUCACCUCAAGCGAUUAUAUCUUCUUUUUCCAUGGUCCUGGAUUUUUGUAAUGAGUUGUAGAAUGUGAUUAUUUUUUGUAUAGAUCGUCUUAUUUAUCACCUUCUCUUUUUUUUCUACUGAAGGUGGUUGCAUAAGGUGAAUUGGGCCUGGCAUUCUCACCCACUACCCAUUUCCAUGAAGGUGGUGGUUAAUCCUUCAUGUUAAAGUUCUUUCCUGACUACAUGUUAACACCAAGUGUAGCCGUCACGUGGUGAUUGAAAAUUUAUAAUGGUACUUGUUGUAGUAUUUCAUUAGCAUGAUAAAAAUUCUGUUGAAGUCUGAAAAUGAUAAAUUUGUUAUUGAAGUGUGAAAAUUUAAUCGUGAUUCGACUGAUAACUAUUUAUUUUUUCUUAAAUAAUAUUUCUUCCAUUCAGAAAAAAAAAAUGUAAAUAUAUAAUUAAAUAUAUUAUAAAUAAAAAGAUAAUAAUUAUUUUAACACUGCACUCCAUCUUUCACCUCUGGUUGAGAACAUAGAAGUCAACCUAUAAUAGGUUGAUCUUACCAAGGCGGUUAUCGGCAGAUUUCGAAUUCCUUUGAAAACCCCGUUCAUGCAUUCCACAAUGUUUGUUGUCAUGUGGCCCCAUCGCACCACCGUCAAAUGCCCUUGUCCACUGCUCUACUGGUAUGUUAUUUAUCCAUCUCCCUGCGUCUUUAUUAGACAGUCUAAUUUCAUCACGAUAAUAUUGAAAUGACGUGAGUAAAGCAUACCCGCUCACCGCCUUCUUGCGAAGAUUCUUAUCUUUGAUUGCACGCAUGAGUUUUAUGCAAUGGUCUGAUACAGUAGACAUGUGUAGAAGGAGGAUCAUGUCAUCCGUUGUCAUGGUUGUUGUAGGCACUCUCAAUGGCAGCAUGUCUAUCAGAAAUCAAACAGAGAUUGGCUUGUGGAGCCACAUGCGUUCUGAGAUGUCGAAGAAAGAAACCCCAUUCAUCAGCCGUUUCACCUUCAACAAGAGCAAAGGCAAUGGGAAAGAUAUUGUUGCUACCGUCUUGUGCAACCGCCAUGAGCAAAGUACCCUUGUAUUUUCCGUAUAACCAAGUGCCAUCAAUUUGAAUGAUAGGUUUGCAGAAUGCGAAACCUUUGAUGCACGGGUCAAAUGCCCAAAAGAGACGGUGAAAUAUUCUAUUACCUGUAGCACAGGUUCCGUCUGGCAUCAUUGCUGGCAAUGUCUCCAUAAUUUCCAUAGUUCCUGGGACAUAUGUUUUUAGUGCCCAUAAAAACCGUGGCAAUUCCUUGAAUGAAUCCUCCCAGAUGCCGAAAACCUGUUCAACAGCCUUUGUCCUCGCAAUCCAGGCUUUCUUGUAAGAUGGAGUAUAAUUAUAUGUUGUUCUGAUAUGGGAUAUAAUUAUACUCACCUUCACUGAUGGGUCUUUAUUUACCAAUGGCAGAAUUGUCUUGAACAUGAUUCAAAGUUGCGCCUAGUUUAGGUGAAUCUUGUUUCAACGUUAGUUGCAACUGCAACUGUGCGGUGGGUCUUUGAAGCGAUCUCCCAAGAUUCGUUUUUCUUCUGUAAGACGCAGCCAAACGAACUUACAAAGCAUGUUUACGAUCAUUCGAUAACAAUACCGUUCUAGAAAUCAGGUGCAUUUCACUGUAAAGUCAGCAAUUGUUAUGUGGAAUUUUUUUGAUUGCCAGAACACAUUCUUCUUUUGGUACGAAACAUGUCUUCCACACCUUUAUUCACCUUCUGAUCUCGGGAAUACGAUUAUAGAAAACAUGUUGGAUGUUUAUCGUCGUGAAGAUCCAUAUUUGUCAUAUGUUAAGGCGGAUUGUAGACAUGACUAGGAGGUAUUGUGUGUGGUUGAUUCAUCAUCUUCAUCGUCGUUGUUCAGCAUGUGAUCAACCUGUAUCUUCGGUCUCCUCUUCUUCUUCAUCAACAACGUCGACUUCUGCUUCUGCUUUUGGGUUUGAGUUCAUCUGACCAUUGUGCAUCAUCUUCACCAGCUUCAUCCAGAUCGGUUAGUUGAGACUGUUGAGAUGGUAUACAUGGUUGAAGAGUAAUGUACAACACGAUACGUUGCAGCCCUAAUGUUCAUGACUAACAAACAUGUAUUCAACAUCUUCAUUGUCUCGUACCUUAAGGGGGAAAUACUUGCAUUGACCAUUCUAAAAAAAUAUUGGAUUUUGAUAUGUGAUCUUUGACACAAUACCCGAUCCUAUAAAGGAUUGCAUUCUUUUUUUCAAAUGCAAGAAGGUUGCAUUUCUCUUGAUCGUGAUUCUAAUGGUAUCAGUGUUUCGAAAACAAAAACCAUGUAGCUCAGACUCGAAUGUUUCACCGUUGCAAUGAACGUUGACACUGUAUAAUGAUGAAGAUGACAUUGUGCAGAUGAAAACUAUUUUCUUACUGCAGAUGAAUGUGAGUGAAGUGUCUUGGAUGUUGAUAGUAAGCCACUUAAAUAGAUGGUAUCAGUGUCUCACAUGCUAGCUAGUUCUGAGAUGAUGUGUUGGACAUGCAAGUUAGUCUGAGAUGAUGUGUCGGACAUGCAAGCUAGACUGAGAUGAUGUGUCAGUCAUGCAAGAUAGUCUGAGAUGAUGUGUCAGCCAUGCAAGCUAUCAAGAAGUGAUUGUUCAGCAUGCAGGAGACAAGACAGCCACGUGUCGAACAUAUAAGAUAGUUAGAGAUGAUGUGUCAACCAUGCAAGCCAUCAACAAGUGACUUGUUCAGCAUGCAGGAGACAAGACAGCCACGUGUCAGACAUGCAGACACACACUCCAAAUGGAUUGGCGCCUCCAUUUAUUCCUUGUACAUGGUCGCCAAUUCAAGUGGAGACACCAUGCAUUCAGACCUCGAAACCAAGCAUUCAGACCUAGCAUUGCAUGCAUGUCCCUAUGGAGGCGCCAAUUUGAAUGGCGACCCCUCGUAAAGCUUGUACAUGGUCGCCAAUUCAUAUGGAGACACCAUGCAAGCACAAAUUUUCAUGCUCUCAUCCAUUUACCUAUAAAUACAUCCACUCCUUCAACACUUCUUCCACACCAUCACUCUUACUACUUCCUCUACAAUACUUCUUUUACAAUUUCAUCUUCAACAACAUCUUCUAGUUUCAUCCACACCAACCCCCCAACAAAAUGUCGUUACUCACAAUGGGCGAAGCACAUAGAGGAACGGUUGCAAACAUCGCAACAUAUGUAAGUUUUUUCUUUUGUUAACUAAAAUAGAAAGUAGAAGUGGUUGGGGUAAAAUAAAACUGUAUCCAACUUAGUCAAGUGUUUUAUUCUUUCUUUUAUAGGAUGUAUCAAGGUUUCGAACUCGGGUCCACGAAUAUGUCCAGAUGGACCCGAUGAUUCAACCUUAUGUUGAAGUCGCCGGUUUUGGUCAUAUUAGCAAGAUUAUGUCUUGGUUUAUAGAUAACAAGUUCAUUCUAGCCUUAUGUGAAAGAUGGAGGCCAGAGACACACACAUUUUGAUUCCCAACCGGUGAGUGUACCGUGGCGUUAGAAGACGUCAACAUGCUUUUAGGACUACCAAUUGAAGGCAAGGAUGUUAAUGGUAAGACCAACUAUGCAAAUUCAAUUUGCAUGGAGCUCUUAGACACUUAUUUGUUAGAUGAUAAUGCUAGAGGUCAAGGUAUACUACUCUCACGCCUAAAGUCAUAUUAUAAUAGUUUAUACUUAGAUGAGCAUUCUAUCGAAGAUGCUCGAAUAAUAAAAACUAGGUGUAACAUUAUGUUGUUAAUAGGAUCCUUUUUAUUUCCCGAAGGUAGUGGUUCUAGCAUGCAUAUUAUGUACUUACCUCUACUUAGACAUGUAGAUAGUUAUCCUUCAAUGUCAACCCCUAGACGAACAGAAGCCUAUCUCUAUAGCUCGUUGUGCAAAAACUCCCACAAAGACACAUCUACAUUUUCUGGAUGUGCUGUUUUGCUACAAGCAUGGGGUUGGUCAAGACUAUCGUCUCUAGCACCGGUUAAUAACAACCCUUUCACUUUUCCAUAUGCACAAAAGUAAGUUGUUUAAAUUGCUAUAUCUUUACUUAGUUCCUUAAAGUUUAUUACCUCAAACUAUUUUUUUUUAACUUUUUGGUGUAGAUGGUCGGCACAUGGUAUGAGUUACAACAGAUGUCCGAGACACUAUAUUACUCAGUAUCGCAACCUGUUGGAUCACCUUCGACCGACAGACGUAAGCAAAAUAACUUAAUUAUUUCGUUAUAUUUUGUUAACUUUUUCUACAUUAAUUAUAAUCCUAUCUUCUUUAACAUUUCAGUUCAUUUGGCGUCCAUACCUUAAUCUGGAUCGUGACCAUGAGGUCAACGCUGAAGACGCAGCCGUAUGGACAACAUGCACACCGAUAAUACGAUUCACAACUGUGGAGAUGCACAACACCGAUCGUGUGAAGCUGCAGUUCGGUAUGGUCCAGAAUAUCCCAGAUCCCACAGCUAGCCUAGGAGAAUGGCAUCUGCGUAAAGUGAACGACCAAUGGAACUUCAACCCUUGGCAAAACUUCGCAAGAUCAGAGUGUCGCAAGUGGAAGCACCGUCAUGACCAUGUCUUAACUGACACAGUCAUGCCAAAUGAGGUAAAACCAAGUCCUACUUAUAUGGCUUGGUACAGAUCGGUUGGUUUUCAAUUCAUCGCCGAAGAUAUGUACCUCUACGACCCAGCCAGGCAAGUUACACACAAGAAGGAUCAACAUCUAACCCCCAACAACAUUCUCAGCCCGGUUACUCACAACCCCCUAUCCGUCAAACUUUCCGUUCUACAAACACACAAACAUACAACCAAAACAUGUCAUUCACCCAACCCCAAUACCAAGAGCAUACCCCAUACCACCACCAACAAAUUGACCAUCAACCUGAGACCCAACGUCGCUUCACACCCACACCAUCACCCUACCAAAGUCGCGUUAGCUAAAACACCAACCGCCUCUCCUCCUACCGUAGCCAAGAAGCCCAAACAUCACAAAACCAAAACAUCCCACAACCCUAUCUCUACCAAACACCCCAACAACCUUUCCUCGACGCAUCAUUCACACCCAUGUCUCCCUUCAACCGUCUCGAUCGCCCAUCCAUGAGUCAACCACAUCCCAACUUCUCUGGCAUGGGUCAUGAGCUCAGCUACGGCGGUACACCAUCAUUGCAUACUGAAGACUAUGCUGAGUUGUCUGAAUACCUCAACGGACCUUCUACCCAACUUCUCUGGCAUGGGUCAUGAGCUCAGCUACGGCGGUACACCAUCAUUGCAUACUGAAGACUAUGCUGAGUUGUCUGAAUACCUCAACGGACCUUCUCUUGUAGUUGGUAGUGACGCUCCUGACCCCUCAGAUGAUCAAACACCGAUGCAGAAUCGUCAACGUGAGUUAGGACCAAGGGUUAGGGUAGCUAGAGGAUGUGGCACCGGAGGUCGGUUAGAUGAUCCCGAUCAUCACCAUUAGGUUUCUUUUGUGUAAACUCCAAACUUUAUUAAUAUCAAGUCGUAUUAUAUCAAAUUUAUCUUUAACUUAUACCAUAAAACACACAAAAAAUGUAUUUUAUGAGGAAUCUCCAAUUGAAGAUGACCCCACUUUUGAUGUGUUUGUCAAAUGAAGAUGAUCCCAAGAGCAAAAAUGUUCUUAAGGACCAUAUGAACAAGACCAUAUGAACAACUUUCAUGUUCAUAAAAAUUUGAUUUGAAGCUUUGAAGGUCAUCAUCAAUUUCAAAACAUUAUAGGUCAUUUUGACUGAAACCCUAAUUUUAGGUCAACUUCCCAAGAACAUAACUCACUCAUUUUUCGUGAUUUUGAGAUGGAAUCAAAUGCAUUGGAAAGUUUAAGAUGUCUACUUCAUUUGUUAUGUUGAGAAAAUUUUCAUAAUCCUAAAAGAAACACAUGUGAUAAUAGAAAACAUUAUAGGUCACUUUGGAACUUCAAGUACAUUGAAAUGUGAAAAAGUCCAACUUCAAGUGCCCAUAACUUUCUCAUCAAAAAUUCAAAUGAUGCAAAAUUUAAAUCCAAAUUUAUUGUCUUGAAAAGAUCUACAACUUUUAUGUUGAAGGUUUUGUCAUUUGAGGCUUUUAGAAGGAAUCUCCAAUUGAAUUAGCGACUCCUCUUAAAACCUACACAUAGGCACCAAUUGGAUUGGCUAGGGCACCUGCCCUAGUCAAUCCAAUUGGCGCCUCCAUUCAAGUUUUAAGAGAAACCGCCAAUUCAAUUGGAGACUCCUCCUAAAAAUGGGGUAUUUUGGAAAAAAAAUUAAAACUUGAGGUAUUUUGGAAAUUUUCUUUAAAAAGUGGGUUAUUUGGAUAAAAAAAACCGUUUAUGCCACCGUUGAUAUGAGAUUAGGGAUAGAAUCAUGUUAUUUAUAAACAAAUUAAGGAAAGAGUUAUGCUAUUUUUACAGCAUUUUACUUCGGCAUAUUUAAAUUUCACCGUAUAUGUACAAUUAUUUUAGUGUUGCACAAACAAAAAAUCAUUAAAAAAUGAUGAGUAGAUAUUUAUUAUAUAAUGUUCGGUGUAGGUGUGUAAUUCUUAAGGAAAAGGGAAGGGAAUUAUCACUAGGUGAAGUUGAGGCUAUUUUACCCCCUUCCAGUACCAGUAAAGAUCCAGAAUCGAAAGGGUCCAAUCUUUUUCCCAUUCUAGUCAUGAAAGAAUUUGAUAUCAGGUUUACCUAUUUCCUAGAAAACUUGUCAGGAUUCAGUUUUAAUCAAGGCAUGAACACUAACCUAACGGAUCCUUGUCAAGUAUCAAAAGGCUUCUAAAGCUUCAGCAUAAUUUGAGAACAUACGCAACAACUAUGCUCCGGUACUGUAUAAUGUCAUAGAACACUACUCUGAUCAUGAAAGAAUAUAUGACAAGGAACUGCUUAGGAGAAUAUGUGAAACUUGUAAGGGCUUAAGUUUUAUCUAUUAGUAAAUUUAUUAGACAAGGACAGACAAUAGAUUAUUUUAAAAAAUGUAUUACAUUACUGACGGGGUGUUAAAUUAUCGGCAAACAUGAAGUUUCCAGCAUAAACAUAACUACUUAAGCACACUAACAAAUUAAGAUUCUACAACAAACCAAAUAAAUUUUGAAACACAGAAAUCAUGUGGCAUGUUUUUUUAAACACUUAAAAUCAAAUGUUAAAGAAAUAUAACCAACCUGAUUAAAUUAAAUGGGAAUGAUAACUAAGUGCAAAACCAUCACAUCUUUAUCAAAAAUACCAAAUUAGUCUUAACUCCAACUCUCAAAAUAACUUAGAACAACAAAAACAUAAUAAAUUGGGAGAGGUAGAAAACCAAGUGCAAUAAAACACUUAGCACUUGAUCUCCUUCAAAGCAAAAGAAAAAUAGAGAAAAGUUGGGUCAGCAGCACCAUCCUUGUAGUAGGCAAAGACCAAGCUACCAUCAUCAUGCAUGCUCUCACCAACAAAGCUGCACAAAAAUGUAACAUUAUACACUAAAACAAAACAUCUAUUACUUAACAAUUUAAUGUUUGACCAUAAGAAAUAGUAGCAUAUUAAUUAAAAUUACUCAAAUUAAGUGUAUCCACUCUAAAGAGAAAGCCAGAUGAAAAGGAAAGAGUUUUUAAAAUAAAAUAAAAAUUGUCUAUUUGAUGAUGAUAAAUGCAAGAAAACCAUAUUCCAGCCUCAAAAUUAACAAAUAUUAUGCAACAAACAAGGAAACUAUAUAAAAAACAUUGAAUACUUCUUGAAUGUACAUAAUAGCGAGUCACUUACAACUGAAGGUCCUUGAGCUUGCCAAGGAGGUAUUUGGUUGCUCCCUCAAUAUUCUUUUUGAAGUGCUCUUGUUUCUCUGCUUCUAGUUUGGGAGUCAACAACUUAAUAUACUUCUUAACAAAGCCAAGAAACUGCUUCUUGUCAAAAGGAGGUUGUUCCUACAAAAGUUCACACACAAAAUAAUUAUGCUCUGAAAUCAAGCUAUAAGAUAAGAGCUCAAAAAUUAGCUUUAAAAAAUGUAUUCUCCAAGAUAAAGAGAUAUUCAUGGUUGCCCUAACCUGAAGUCUGAAUACAUCAACAAUGUCAACCACCUUAACAGCAGUGUCAUCAACACCCUCAUCUUCUCCACCUUCGGCAGAAGGGUUUGCACCGAUGUUCACAUCAACUGCUCCCUUGACAACCCACUGCACACCAAGAGGAAAUAAUUUUUAACUUUCAUCCUCAAGCGUAACAAAACAAUUUCACAAAAAACAUGUUUUGAUAAUUGCAUAUUUAAACCUAAAUAAUUGACCAAUAUUCAACUACAAUUCCCUUUGAAAGUAUAAGAAAAUUCACAAAAACAUGUUUUAAUAAUUGCACAUGAAAUGAUUGGGACAAUAUUAACUGACCUUCCCCUCAACUUCCCACAACAUUCCAUUCUCAAUUUCCUUGUAUGGAUAAGAGUCUGACAAAAGCUCAUCACCUACAAAACAUGACAAAAGCGUUGAACUAUUACAUAUUUCAAACAAAAGCAUGCUACUAAAAACCCUUCUAUUAGAGCUGAAGCAAUUCAGGACCAUUGAUUUAAAACAAAAUAUAUAGAAAAAUAUAAAACAAAAUAGAAGAAACAAUAACCAAUAGAACGGGGCACAGACGACACAUAACCCUAAGCAAAAAGAUGCUACACGCAGAAAAAUUCUCACUUCUUGAGUACAAAAGCAUAGCAGAUUGAGAUUAAUUUAUCUUUAUAACAAUGAAAAAAUCUGGCUUUAUUUGUUUUUACAGAAACUCUAGCUUUUAAUAACAAACACGAAUAAUCAGAAUAUGCAUCUCAGUGCAACACAAUUGAAUCAAUUGAAAUUCAAACAAAUCACAAAAUCAAAGCAAAAAACUACAGAUCCAAAGAUUCCCAUCAAAAUUUCAAUACAACUGUCAUAAUCGCAUGCGUAAUUCAUAUAGAUCUAUAAGAGAAUAAUAGAAAGAAAAAAACGGAAAUUUAAGAAAAUAAUCAUGGAUCUGAGAGUAGUUACCUGUAAGGAGAUCCUGGUAAACCAACAUGAUUGAAAAUUCUUUCUCUGAUCGCUCCUGGUUACAGAUUUAUUGGUGUGAGAAUGAGAUUCGGAGCGAUCUGAGAGUGAAGAGGGAUUGAAAUUCGGGUGCGCUCAUGAUAUUAAUAGACUAGGGUUUCUUCCUUGGGAAAUUACUUUCACGCCUAUGGUAUUUUCUAAAAUACCCAAUUUGUCCUACCUUUGUAUUUUUAUUUAUUAUUUAAACAGAAUUUUAUUCCCUUUUUAAAUUAUCAUUACUAUUAUUCUUAUAUCAUAUAAAUAAAUAUAUCAUAUUAUACUUUUACCGUUUAUCUUUAUCUAUCUAUCUAGGAAUGGGACCCUAAACCCACUUUUGAAAAUAAUAAUUUUGGAAGCAUUUAAUUUGUCACCCUAACAAUUAAAUCUAUUAUCUUCACAUAUUUUUAUACUUUUAAAUUAUUUAGGAUAAAUUUGAGUUAAAAAUAUUAACAGAAUUUUCUGUUGUUCAUUCAAAAUUUCUGGUAAAAGAUUAAAUUUUUGAUAGUUUAUUUUAAAUUUUCAGUACAAAUUUUUUAUUUGUUUUUAUGAAAAAUGGUGUAAUUUAUUAGAAAUUUUGGAAAGUGUUAUAAUUUAUCAGAAAUUUUGAAAAGUGUGGUAGUUUAUCGAAAAUUCCAAACUCUUUUGCUAUAGUUGGAGAAUUAUAUGAUUAUAAGAGGACGAAUCUUUGUUUCUUAAAUUGAAGAAAGGAAUAUGAAUAUUGUUGACCCAAACAUCAGUGAAGAGUCGCAUCCAAUAUGUAGUGAAAUGUCUGUAUGCAUUGAACUUGCUCGUAAAUUUAAAAAGUUGAGAAAACUUGAAGAUACUUAAAGUAAUAUGAAUUAGAAAAAUAAUAAUACUUUUUGAUUCAAUGGGAAAAAACGUUUUAAAACCAUCAUUGCCACUAAUUUCACUAGAUAUAAGCAUGACCAAGGUGAUAACUUGAGUACACCUUCGAUUCAUAACUUCCAUAACUAUCCUCUUUUGUUAUGGAUGAACAAUGCAUAUAACUAAUUGUUUCCUUUGAUUCAAUAUAUGAUUUUACCAAAUUGAGUUAUAAGGAUGAUAUUUAUUGAGGUUUAUACACUAAUUCAAUUUCUAAUAAAAACGCAUUAGUUUCUGAUAAAUGUUUGAAAACAUACUGGAUUUUUCAAAACCUUUGGUAAUUUUUUGGAUUUUUGAGAAAUGUCAGUAGUUCAUAUUAGACAGGCAAGAAAAUUCACACUACUAGAUUUUUCGAAAAAUUUGGAAAACUACAAAAUAUUUUGAAAAAUCUGAUUGUGUGGUUGUUCUGCACAGCUUGAGUCACUGCUUCCAAGGCGACAGCAAUAGCAUCAUCAUUCCUUCCAACCAUAUUCUAAACAUAUCAAUAACAUGGUUAGAAGAAACUUAUAUCAAUACUGUUCACACACUAUUCACAUACUAAAAACUUAUAAGACACUAUUCACAUGGUCUGACGGACCAACUAGACUCUGAUACCACUUUGUAACACCCUACUUCGUGAUUCAAAUAAAUAAAUAAAAUAUAAAUAAUUAAAUCAAGUAGGAUGUCACAUCCACAUAAUUUGAAGUUUAAAAGUUUACUUCAACUCAUAUAAAUCACAUUGUUACAGCGGAAUUUAAAAUAUUUUUUGUUCAGCAUCCAAAGCCUCACUCAAACAUCCAAACAAUAGUCGUUUAAAACAGCAAUCCUUAUUAUUUAAAUAUAUGUAACAUGAAAAACACAUAGGUAAAACAGCCCCAUGGACAAAAUAGCCUUAGUGUUACGUAUCAGAGCGGCUCAACUAGAAGACCUGAUCGAUAGCAACAUAUCGUGCACCGUCAACUACUCAGGUAUCUGAUUUUCUAUACUCCAAAGGAGUACAGACACAACAACAAAAAAGGGUGAGAACUACAUUAAUACAAUUAAUCGAUGCAUAGCAUGAUAAGGAUAAUAUUCACGCGUGACGCACCACAAUCAUUCAUAAUCCACAUUCUCACCAUAAUUAAACACCACACGAUAUAAUGAAAAUGCAAUGAGACUCCAUAACUCGACCCAAUGCAUGUGGUACCCACAACUUCCAAUCUCUAGCGUGUGUUACUCCACUUUUCAUCAACUCCCUCAGUUAGCAUAUGUGUAUCGAACUGCACUUUAUGUGCCUCAGUACACGUCAUUACCCUGGAAAAACUUCUCAAUGUAUAUAAGUCAUGCAUGUGCUCCCUCUGGAUCAUACCUUCCUUUGAAGGUAUGCGGGUUGUUCCUCUGAAACUUUUCCAAGUUGUGGAACUCAUCAUUUCCUCCCAAUUGGUUGUUCUGCACAACUUUAGUCACUGCUUCCAAGGCGGAAGCAAUAGCACCACCAUUCCUUCCAGACACAUUUUAAACAUAUCAAAAAUAUGGUUAGAAUAAACUUAUAUCAAUAGUGUUCACACACUAUUCACAUACUAAAAACUUAUAAGACACUAUACACCUGACCGGACAGACCAACCAGACUCUGAUACCACUUUGUAACACCCUACUUCCGGAUUCAAAUAAAUAAAUAAAAUAUAAAUAAAUAAAUCGAGUAGGAUGUCACAUCCACAUAACUUGAAG